rnacentral:lncRNA from 1 species
GCCGAGUACGUCUUAAACUCAUGAGCCCCAAUAGCUUUGAAUAAGUAGCUAUUAAGACCUCGAACAAACCUCUUAAUCUUCCUCUCCUCAGUCGGUACCAAAUACCCGGCAAAUCUGGACAACCGUGUGAAUUCCACUUCAUACUCUGUCACACUCAAGUCACCCUGAACCAACUUUUCAAACUCAUAUGAUCUGGCUUCCCUCACACUUUCAGGUAGAAAACGUUCCAAAAACAUCUCAGAAAAUUCCUUCCACUCCAUCGGUGGCGAACUAACUGCCCUUUCACCCCUCUGAUAAUGGACCUCGACAAGAAAUUCCUUGACUGACUUAAUUGGCCCUGCCGGCCCCCAUGUCCCCUGCUAGGACCUGUAUCAGACCGCUGCUGAAAAGAGAACUGAUUUGCCACUUUGGGCCUCUUAACCGAACCCACUGAUAAUUCAUCCUCUAACUCUCGUGCCUCAAUAGCUCGGGCACGAUCCACUAUGGCUGAGUACGUCUUAAACUCAUGAGCCCCAAUAGCUUUGAAUAAGUAGCUAUUAAGACCUCGAACAAACCUCUUAAUCUUCCUCUCCUCAGUCGGUACCAAAUACCCAGCAAAUCUGGACAAUCGUGUGAAUUCCACUUCAUACUCUGUCACACUCAAGUCACCCUGAACCAACUUUUCAAACUCAUAUGAUCUGGCUUCCCUUACACUUUCAGGUAGAAAACGUUCCAAAAACAUCUCAGAAAAUUCCUUCCACUCCAUCGGUGGUGAACUAACUGCCCUUUCACCCCUCUUGGACUCAUACCAGUUCACAGCCACCUCUCCUUCUAGCCUGAAAGAUGCCAAAGUCACUGCACGAUGAUCCGUGCACCCCAUGGCCUCACACCUACGCCACACUGCAUCUAAAAACUGUUGUGGGUCCUCAGAGUUAUCAACACCCUUAAAAGUAGGAGGUGCCAGCUUAAGGAACUCUGACAAUGGUACUUUCACCCCAUGCACGGUAUGGGAAGUCGAAGAUGCAUUCUUAUCCUUCUCCUUCUCUCUCUCAGUUAAAAGGUCAGCCAGGGUCUGCAUGGCCUGUCCAAUCUUAUCCAAAGCACUGUCAGUAUAAGACACCCUAUCAUGGGAUUCCUGCUCCUGAUUCUUACCAACAUCCAGACCAUAGUCUCCCUCAAACUCCACCUCAUCCUGAACUUCUGCUUCCAUUGGUUGAGGCGAAGGGGUUCUAACCCUCUUUUUGCGCCUCUCCUUCCUAAGCUGAGCGAUAGGAAUGUCCUCUUGAUCAUUACCGACAUAUUCGGCAUUAACUACAUGCUUAGCUCUCGGCAUAUUUCCUAAAAGAAUGCAUUUACAUAUA